UUAUAGCCCUGAUAGGAGCGGCAUCUUUUUAUACCUGACAGGUAUAAAAAAUACAGCGGAUAGCAGGAGCCGGU
rnacentral:sRNA from 1 species